rnacentral:lncRNA from 1 species
GUCAUGGUUAGAGAAUUAUAGUGCGUAUUUGUUUGACAUUUGAGUGACAAUCUGUGAGUGUUUGUAAAGGAAAUAAUAAUAUCAUAUAUUUACAGUUUGGUCCAAGUUAAUGUGAAUGAACGUAUGCAUGCAAUGCGCAAGAUGGCCAGCAAUAUAUCCACUUAUCAGGGAGACAACAACAACCAAAAACCAAGUCGUUACUUGAUAAACUGCUAGUUUUUCAUUUCUCUAUAGGUUGAUUGGCGAAAUAUUGAAUCAUGUGUGAAUUCUCAGGGAAUGACUUCACCGGUAGAAAGCUAAUUCAUUAAUGGUCUGUAUAAUUCUGUGAUCUACAUCCUUGCACAGCAGAGCACAGAACAUUUCUGUGACUAUAAGCAGGAAAUAAAUUGGUGACAGCUUACUUGGCGGACUUGAGGUAUGAGAAGAGGGAAAAUCCAUCAUUAUAAGAGAUAUGGGUUGCUGGGAGGACGUGAGCAUCGGCGAUGAUUUCAUUUCCGAGGCUCUGAUUAUUGACGAGGACCAUCCCGCUGCCGCCAGCCUGCAGAACGGCUUCACCCUUCUCCACUCUUGCGAUAAUUCCACGGAGACAGACGACUAUCUUCCCUCUAACCUUUUCAGGGUCCAGCGAACCCAGGUAACACAACUCACUGCAGAAUUAAAGAGAAAGCAAAUUUGUUCUUCUGUUAAAAUCAUCAAGGUUUAUCUGCUGCUUGGUUGACAAGAACUCAAUAGUCCUUAACAUAACUGCUUCAUGUUGUAGGUUUGCCACAACCUGUUCUGGUCUUCAUUAAGGAUUUCACCUAGUCUUGUAAUAAGAGCAGGAUCUUUAACACGAUGUAAUACGAUACAGUAUGCAGAUUAUCAAAUUGCAGAACUUACAUGAUAAUUAAUUAUGAUUACGAUAUCUAACAAGUCUUCCCUAAUGGGAUUCUUUUAUAGCGAUGCUUACUUGAGAAUAGACUGCUCCAACAUACCAGUUGAUAUUGCACCAGAGAAUUUUACGAGAAAGUUAUUGGUGGGAUGGAAAUGAGUUGGUUCUUACGCAUCAUGCGCGGAGGCAUUUGAAGCUCUGGCUUCUUUGGAGCUUAUCAUUGGAUAGAGCUCGUUUCCUGGCAGGCCUUUCGGAGAAAGGCUCUCUCCCUGUAAAGAUAAAAGAAGAAUUGGUCAGAGAAUUAUAGUCGACACGUUUGUAGAUCAUAUAGCGUAUCAUAUUAUUUAUUAAUGAAAUAAACAGAAAUCCUCGUAGUAUAUAAAAGUAAUCUACGAGCAUAUAACCGAAAUAAGGUAGAAAAAAUACCAAAAGAAUUCCGAGAGAAUAAGAAAAUUAAUUAUAAAUAUUUUUCUUUUGAGAGUGAGGGGGAAUUAAAACUUUAUAAGCGCCGGCCCGACAACCUUAAUGCUUUUGUUGUUGAAGUUGACGUAGGCUGGAAACUCCCUGUCCAUGGUGCUUGCCCCUGCUGUAAUUAUCCAUGGUGCGUUGUUGGUGACGGAACCUGGGCGCGGGCCGGAGUUGCCGGCCGAGCAGACCACGGUGAUCCCAUUCUUGACGGCAUGGAACGACCCGAUCGCUAGGCCGUCGAGAAAGUAGUUGGUGGGAUCACCGCCGAGGGACACCGAGAGCACGUCCACCCCGUCGUGUAUCGCUGCAUCGAAGGCGGCGAUGAUGUCGGCGUCGAAGCACUCACUCCCAUUGAUGGGCGGCCAGCAGACCUUGUAGGCCGCGACGCGGGCCCGCGGGGAGCCGCCUUUGGCCGUGCCGUUGCCGUAGCCAAAGAUGUUGGCGCCGGGCACGAACCCACCGCCGGCGGUCGAGAGGGUGUGGGUCCCAUGACCGUCUGUGUCGCGCGGCGCGUCGAAGGUGGCGUUGAGCGGGCCGGCCGCGGAUGCGUAGCCCUUGCUGUAGUACCGUGAACCGAUCAGCUUUCUGCGUGCCACAAAAUAAGAUCCAUCAUCAAAUCAGAGGAUUGAUAUAUUAAUAAAGCUUAAUCACUCCCACAGGUAAAGAUAAGAAUGGCAAUGCUUAACUUUAUAAUCCGUUUAACUUGUUUCGAUCCGUCGUAAAUUAAGCUAAAUUAUCGACUUAAUAAUAGAGUCAAGUCUGAAUUUAGAUUUUUGAUCCGUUUAAUAACGAUUGACAAAUAUUUAGUCCAUCGUAUAUUCGAUCCGGCUCUUAUCUUAUCCGAUCUGAUUGCCAUCUUUUCGAGUAAAAGUUGGUGGUGCACUGUCGAAGAGAAGGGUAAGAUUGGAGCGGGAUGAGAAGAACCGCCUGGGAAACCAUAUAAUAAUACCACUAGAAGGUGGCAUUUCUGAAGCAGGUUUUCUUUUUCCAAAAUAUGGGAAACCAAGCCAAAACAAUUUCUCACAGAGCCGACCAUGAAGAGUUUUUUUUUAGUGGUUCCCCUGAUACACCAACGAUGUCAGAACCUGCCAUGGAAGUAGAGUAUAGUGAGCAUCUAUAAAUCCUGGGGAAACAAAAAAUAAGAUGGGCCUUCCGGAACCUAAAUAGCGUAUCUGCGAACUCCAAGAGUCCAAUACGUGUCGCGGAUUGCUUCCUUUUCCAAAAAAAGGGAGUGCAUCUACAAGUUUUAGUCAUCGGUGGAAUGCAAGGAUUUAAUGAAGGCUUCGUACUGGAUGGAUGGAUAACUAGAAACACAAGUGCGAGUGCAUCUAUCAUAAAAAAGGGAGUGCCUUGAAAAUAGUUUUUCAAAAGAUGCGAGGGGGGCAUGGAAUGGACCUGUUGCAUGAAAAGCUCUUAUCUUCUCCAAUCUGGCAGAUUCCCUUCCACUUGGAUGGAACUGGCCCCAUGCCAUCAUCCUUAAAGCUCUCGGACUCUGGCCACACACCUACACAUCCACAGUGCACAAAAGAAAAGGGUUCAGAUAAUUUAACUUGAGGAUGAAAAGAAGGAACCCAAGUGAAGAAAAUAUAGAACAUGUAGUCUUGGUCAAUGGUCCCUGUCCACCAUGAACAUUUNNNNNNNNNNNNNNNNNNNNNNNNNNNNNNNNNNNNNNNNNNNNNNNNNNNNNNNNNNNNNNNNNNNNNNNNNNNNNNNNNNNNNNNNNNNNNNNNNNNNNNNNNNNNNNNNNNNNNNNNNNNNNNNNNNNNNNNNNNNNNNNNNNNNNNNNNNNNNNNNNNNNNNNNNNNNNNNNNNNNNNNNNNNNNNNNNNNNNNNNNNNNNNNNNNNNNNNNNNNNNNNNNNNNNNNNNNNNNNNNNNNNNNNNNNNNNNNNNNNNNNNNNNNNNNNNNNNNNNNNNNNNNNNNNNNNNNNNNNNNNNNNNNNNNNNNNNNNNNNNNNNNNNNNNNNNNNNNNNNNNNNNNNNNNNNNNNNNNNNNNNNNNNNNNNNNNNNNNNNNNNNNNNNNNNNNNNNNNNNNNNNNNNNNNNNNNNNNNNNNNNNNNNNNNNNNNNNNNNNNNNNNNNNNNNNNNNNNNNNNNNNNNNNNNNNNNNNNNNNNNNNNNNNNNNNNNNNNNNNNNNNNNNNNNNNNNNNNNNNNNNNNNNNNNNNNNNNNNNNNNNNNNNNNNNNNNNNNNNNNNNNNNNNNNNNNNNNNNNNNNNNNNNNNNNNNNNNNNNNNNNNNNNNNNNNNNNNNNNNNNNNNNNNNNNNNNNNNNNNNNNNNNNNNNNNNNNNNNNNNNNNNNNNNNNNNNNNNNNNNNNNNNNNNNNNNNNNNNNNNNNNNNNNNNNNNNNNNNNNNNNNNNNNNNNNNNNNNNNNNNNNNNNNNNNNNNNNNNNNNNNNNNNNNNNNNNNNNNNNNNNNNNNNNNNNNNNNNNNNNNNNNNNNNNGAUACAUAUUAUAUUUUAUUAUGCUAUGUUGUAUAAUACUAUGCAAUAUCCUUUAUGGUCAUUUUGUCAUACCAAAAGUACUUUUUCAGUUUGUUUGCCAAACACAUAUUAAAGUGGCACAACACUUUAGAAAUAUAGUUACAAAACAGCAAGCAGUUUUUUUAUGAAAACUCAACUUCAAAAAGUUCUACUUUCAAAAGUUCUACUGCCAGUAACUCUCCCAAAUGAGGCCUUAGAUGGUAGGUGUUUCGUGGGAGGAACUCGGAGCUUUCACCAUUGAGCUAGCUUUAGAGUAAUAACCUAUGCUUCCAGAUAAAUAAAAACAUAUGAGCAGAAUUACCCUAUUCAUGCUUUAGAGUUAGCGACUGUGAUCUUUGCUUUAAAAAUAUGGAGGCACUAUUUAUAUGGUGAACAUUGCAAAAUUUUUACGGAUCAUAAAAGUCUAAAGCAUAUUUAUACACAAAAGAUGUUGAAUUUGAGGCAAAAAAGAUUGGUGUGGGCAGGUGAUUAGUUUGUCUGGUUGUCAGCUAAGAGGUAAGAAUUUUUGUACAUCGACCUGUAUGAUAUAGAUAUUUUUGUACCUAUAUGUAUGAUAUGCUAAUGAUCCAGAAAAGUAAGAAGCAAUAAUGGUUUUAUGAUGGUUUUGGUAUUAAAUUGUAUUUUGAUCAUGUUUGCUUAUGAUUGAUAGUAUGAUGGGUGCAUAUAUGAGCAUAAUUUAUACUUGCAUGAUCGGACUAAUGGAUGUGAUGCUCUGGACUAAUCAUGUUAUAUUGAUUGCCUCAUCAUGGGCGAAGAAACGUGACUGUGGUUAGUCUAAAGCCGGAAAGAAAAAGGAAUUGAUGUAUAGAUGUGAACUUCAGUGAAUGAAUAAGAACUUUUGGCUUAUUUCGUUAUCAUUGGUUGCCCCAUUACAUGCUGGAAAUGUGAAAAUGUGAUACUAUUAAUUACCCCGUCACAGGUCGAAAAUGUAAAAAUAUCAGUUGCCUCGUCACAGGACAGAAAUGUGAUACUAUUAAUUGCCCUGUCACAGGUCAAAAAUGUGAAACUACUGGUUGCCCCAUCACAGGCUAGAAAUGUGAUACUAUUGAUUGCCUCGUCACAAGAUGGAAAUGUGAAACUACUGGUUGCCCUGUCACAGGCCGAAAAUGUGAAACUAUUGGUUGCCCCAUCAUAGGCUGAAAAUGUGAAACUAUUGGUUGCCCCAUCAUAGGCUGAAAAUGUGAUACAAUUGGUUGCUCGAUCACAGGCUGAAAACAUGAUCGAGAUUUCGUCCAAAAUCAAAAAGGUAAUUGAUCCAGAUCAAGUUAAAAGGAAUGAAAUAAAAAAUAUUGAAAACACUAAUAAAGAUUUAUGAGAUAUUGUAUGAUAUAUCAAUUUUGAGUGGCUGAAUUUUUAUUGAUAUUUGAUGUACAUAUUUAUAUUGAUUAUUCGAACAAUAUUGAUAGUCGGUUUGUGGUUUCAUGAUGUGCGUGACGUUUUCUUGCUAUUUUCAAACCUAUAUCAUUAUAUUGGUAUGGAUGUGUGGAGAUUUUUACUAAGAUGUAAAGCUCACAUCACCUCUUUUUUUCAAAGUCAGAGGAUGUAUAAUUUUGGAUGGGUUGGGCAUGGAGUUCGAGUAUUGGAGUUAUCGGCUAGUUAGUUUUUCUUUCUUUGAUACCAAUGAACAUCUAAAAAUCUUGUAACUGAACCAGUUUGAUUAUUUGAAUAUGAUGGAUUUAUUAUUUGAACUAAUUGAUUAUUUGUGGAGUUAUUAGAUUUUUGUUCAUAAUAGGCCUUGCAUGAACUUUAGGGCGUUGUUCAUAAUAGGCCUUGCAUACGGCCGUGUCACGUGGUCGACCCAGAUGAUAGGUUUGGGGCGUGACAUAUGAUUAAGUCACACAAACAAACAAAAUAUGUAGAAUUUCCUGAGCUUCUAAAAAGUGACAUAGAAGAAGAUUCGAUCAGGAAAACCAAACAUUCAGUUGGAAAAAACGAAGGGACAAAUACUUGUGGAAACUUUGUGAGAGGUAAAAGAUCUCAUGAGGUUGUUAUUUAGUCAAAGGAACGUGGGGUUGCAAUCAGUUUGUCUUUGUAAGUUUUACUAAAGGUAUGAAUCUGAAAUAAGAGCAGAAGGGAGUACCGGUAUCGAGGUUCCCAAUGAUGAUGUCCUCGCCGAAUCUUGCCUUCGUCCAUAACGAUUCCUUUGGAACUCUGCCAUCCCUCUCGAGGCGAAGAAAAUCCCAUGACCGAGUUGUGUGAAGUUUGUAUCCUCUGUUUGGAAACACAGAGAGGACUCCAGGAUACUCUGCAAGAAGAGAACGCAAUCAGAACAGAAGAAAGAAGGAAACAGAGGAGAACAGGGGAAGCUCAAAUUAUAUAAAAGAAGAGGAGUCUCACUUGAGAUCUCCAUUGCCUCUUCUUCUUCAAGAUUCGCUGCGAAGCCAUUGAUAUACCGCGUGUAGGAGUAAAACAAAGCAUCUUGGGCCUUCUUACUAUGUUCGAUUUAAAAACAAUCAAGUAAUUAGGGAGUUUAUAUACAAUUUAAAAAAGGUGGACAAAUUGAAGGAAACUUUGGAGAAGCGCUUACUUCCCCAAGACUGAUGCCAAGAGCUCAUAGUGAGAGUCUCUCACUCGCUUGGAGACAUGCAAAGAAACCUCUUCGCCGUUGUGUGAAUGGCCGCCAAGGUACACAACAUAAGACUGCACCAAAAAAGGUGGGGAAACAAAAAAAAAAGAAACAGCCCAGAUAUAAGAAAACCAGAUCGGAUUUGGAAUCGAAAUACAGAGCAACGCAUUAAGAGGCCAAAUUCACAGAAUAAAUACAAAGGAAACUAAUCGAACAUUCAAAAGCCUUGCCUUUUUGGCAGCAAAGGUUGGUCUUUGGAGAAGAAGAGAGAAGAGGAAGGCCAAAAGAAGAGAAGCAUAACUCCUCGCGAUCCCCAUCUCUCCUCUUGCGACCUCCGGGGAGAAGCCUAACAGUGUGAUCUGGUUACACCAGCCGGCUCAAAGCUCGAAGGUGACUUCUAUUCUGACUCCUUUUGUGGAUAAGUCUAUCCGAUCCAAGCAGUUACAAACCACAAAGCAUCCAUGGACUCUUGGAUUUGCCAGUUACUAACACUGUUAUUUUAUUUUUAGUAAUUAAUUUUGUUCGAAGGAUGUCAAGGGGUGCCAUGGAAUGGGUCAUCCAGCCCGAGCAGCCAUGGUUGAAACUAAAAGAUUAUGUUGGGUCAUCAAAGACCCUGAUGAUUUAUCCAAAAAAGAUGAAGGUGAAAAAAAAACCACAUCGCCUUCUAGAAUGGGACUUGGCACCAAAAUCCAUCUCGUUGACGUUGCAAGUUAGGGCUGAUUUUUUUUUUUGAUGAUAAAGGGAGGCAUAGGCCACCCAAAAUUUUGUUGCAAGAUAAAGGAGUGGAUUUAUAGUGUUUGUGUUGUGGGUCACUUGAGGAUGUGGUCCCAACUACGUAUAGAGCUUGAGCCAGAAAAUUUGACCGAGUUACAGUUUAACCUAACCACUAGAAGAAGUGUCUACGAGCUAACAUGAGCUUGAGCCAGGCCGUUUAAUUUCAACUCGACAAGGACAGCUCGUCUAAAAAUCUAGUAAGAAGUAAAGAUUUCUUCAGUAUUUGAUAUUUGUACUUUGAACUAUUCAUGAAUAGCUUGAUUGUUUGACGAUAUAAUCAGCUACAAGUGACAUAUUGGGAUUUUGUGAUUGCGCAAACCAAGAUUUUCCGAGUGCAAAUUUGACCUGGCUUAUUUUUAAAGUUUUUAAGUGAUGGAAUUUGAUCCAAGUCAAGUUGGUUAUAUUCAGUUUGGUUGGAGGCUCUAGUGUGGAUGAAACUGUACAGUAAGCUUGCCAAAAGCUAGGUAGCAAUGAAGAAAUUGGAAUUGGACCACUGAGAUUAUUAAAGCUUAGAUCUCUACUAGAUGUUCCUUCUAUGUCUCUGCAAGCCAAAUAAUAGGUUUAAGAAUGGGAUUUGGAUCUUUCUUCUGGAUCUGUAGUGUCGCGCCGAUCGCUACCACCGGUUGCCGAUUGCUCGCUCGUCCGGGGCAGAAGACAGCAAAUCUACUCCUGCAACAUCCGUUCCUUCCACCGGACCUUGCAAUUUGAUCGUCUCCCUCAUCCUUUCUCCGAAAACCAUGAUAUCCUCCAGCAAGCUCAAAUCUGUCGAUUUCUACAAGUCAAAUCUCCGAUCCCUCUCUAAAUCUCAGUCAAGAUUCCCUGCCUCCUCCCUCUUCAACUCCAAACCCUCCUCCCUUCCUCCACUCUUCGCAAUGCUUCCGUUAAAUCCCUAAAUCCCCUCGCUCUCCUCCCAUCGAAGGGUACAUAGGCCUGAGAGAACCUAGAUCUGGAGCGCCCGCCUCUCCCCUCGCCGACUCCAAACCCUCCUCCCUUCCUCCUCUCUUCGCAAUGCUUUCCUUAAAUCCCUAAUUUCUUGCUAGUGAUUUGGGGGUUUUGGAUCUAGGGUUAGGGUUUCUUUGGUUGGAUGGCGAUGAUGAUAGUGAUAUAAUGAUUUAAAAAAUUUCUGUUGAGGGAUCCAAUCACAAAUUCAAGCUCAGAGUGAUCACAUUGGAGAAGGUGCAGUUGUGAGCAGUGACCCAAGUAGAAAUAGGGGAGACAGGAGGGAAGAAGGUGCGGCUAGGGUUUUCUUCGACAGAUCCACACCCUCAAGGGUGGGAGAAGACGUUCUCAAGGGGGAGAGAAGAAAAGAGAAGUUGAAUGGCUGGAUGUUGGUAUCGUUCAAGUCGAUGAAACUGGAAAUGAGAUGGGUGGAUUAGAUUGACAAGAGAUAGAUGGCAAAGGAGGGAACUAGAUGGAUGGUUGAAGAAGGAAAAAGAAUCAGCAUCUCAGUAGAAGGUUUGGAGGAUAUCCAUCAAAAGGAUAGAGAGGAGGAGCCGGAAAAGCCUCGAAGACCCUAUUGCUUACCGGUGCCAAUGCAAUCCCACUAAGUGAAAGGCGAUGCGCUGCAUUGGGAGGGAUCAAAGGGCCUUCUUUUGAGGUAAACAAUGACUUGAAGGGUAAACAACCUCUCUCUUAUGACUCUAAUUUUCUAAACCCUCCUCCUACCUUUAGGCAUUGGGUGGACCUCUUUAGUUUGGAGCCUGCCCCCAGUCACCAAAUCUAUCGCCUUAACUCCUCCAUUACUACCCAUCCUCCCACCUUUGGCUUUAAGGGACUAACCCAUGCUUUUGAAAAGGGAGCAACACCUCUAGCGAAUCCCCUGGGAGAAUAGAGGUCGGCUGUUUAGGAGAGGAGCGUGCUUUAGAUGUGUGACCAUGGCCACUACAAGAGUCAAUGUAGGAAUGGUCUUAUGUGCUUCAUCUGCCAGAAAGUGGGACACUCCUCACACACCUGUCGAUUGGGAAGAAAUGCGUCAAAUAUAGGAGAAGUUGGUGAUCUUGUGAUCUAAGGACAUCUUGAAACUCUUGCCUCCUUCCUUCCAAUAGAGGAUCGUCAUGUGCAGAGAUACCAAGAACUGGCAAGAGCUAGUAUUAUCCAAGUUUUUCCAUUGGGAGAGGGCAUUUGGCCUCUGGGCCCUCUAAGAGUUGCUAAAGCCCUAAGAAGAUUUCAGCCUAACCUUGGUUAUAAUAGGCACUUGGCUUUCUUCCCCUCUGGUUUGGCUCUUCUCUGUGCUCUUCGCUGAGGAUUCUUGAGGGACUGACACUUUGGAGUCACUGUCAAGCCAUGGUCGUAUAGAGACGAAGUUGUACCUCACUCCUUACAAAACAAAGUUUUCCUUGAACUUUUUGGUGUUCCUUUGCAUGCUUAGGAUGUGAAGUCGGUGAGAAGAAUGAUUGAUGGCUUCGCACUCUUAGAGAGGGUCACACCAAAGACGCUUAUUAGUAAGGACCUUUCAAUCCUCGGAGUGCUUGCCUAUUGCAACAAGCUAGAAGAUAUUCCGUAGAUCAUACGAGUGACUCUAGGCGAAGCUACUUACAAGGUCCGGGUAGUAAUCAAGCAUGCCACGGCUGGGAGUCCACUAUCCUCCGACAUAUGUUUAAGAAUGGAUUGGGAGAAAAACUGGAUGCCCCUUCUUUCAAAAUCAAGAUGAUGCUCCUCAUCAGUGUAAGGAGGAUGCUCAUGAAGGACCCUCCUCGCAUGGUGGGAAUGGAGGGGAGGGAGCUACACCUGUGGAAGGGGAUGAUACAUCCAUAAAGAAAACUAAUAAUAAUGACUCUAGUCCUGAGAACCCUCGUCAAAAGAAGAUGGUUGACCUUGUCUCUGAUACCCAAUGCCCUAUGUUGUUGUCUCCGCCGACCCGCAUGCCACCAACUCAAAAACUACUUGCCGGACUGCCGAGUUCCGCCUCCUAUCGACGGCUAGGACCAAUCCACUUCUGAAUCGGUCGCAUAGUGAACCGAGCCUUACUAUGCGAUCUGGGUUGGAACAAAUUUCAAAUUGCCCUCUUGCUGAUGAGGGGCUUGAGAAGCAACUAUUGAUGGCCGAUUUAAUUUUGCUAGACAACCUUGCCAAACCUAAGAGUACUAAAGCUUCUUGCCUUCUUCCAUUUCUUGUAGUUACUCAAGCCAUCUUUUUCUUAGAUAUUGUACCUUUGCUAAUGUUAUCCCCGCUAAUUGCUAUCCUUAUCUUUGGGAGCUUCUUGAAUCUAUUGACCGCUCGAAUGACUGCGAUUGUCUUUUGCUUUUGAUGAUCACCCUUGGUUGUUGCCUUCGAGUGGACUGCUUUUUUAUUUGUUGGUAGAAUCAGCGGUUUCUAUUUCGUCUCUCUAUAUUGUUUGUAAAUUAUGUUGGGGGUAGGAACUUUCACUUCCUUAGUGAGUUGAGGAUUGCUUAAUCUCAAUGAUUGUCGUAUCUUGGAAUAUGAGAGGAGCUGGGGUUGCUGGCAAACGUAGUGCGAUUAGGGACCUCAUUCUGUCCUCAAAUUGUGAUAUAAUUAUGCUUCAGGAGACGAAAAUUUUUUCGUCGUCACAAGCAUUCCUCAGAGCAUUGGGUGGCAACAAGAUUGAUGAGUGGGCCCAUCUUGUUUUUGUUGGUUCUUCAGGUGGCAUCUUGAUAGGAUGAAAUUCUGAUUUUUCUCCCUCAAAACCUCCUUUCAAAAUUGUUUUUCUCUAACUGUGACCUUAUUUGCUCAUGCCGUGAAGCAAGACCUGCUUAUCACUGCUUCAGGGACCAAGUUUUUCAAAGUCUCAUUGAUAUCAGAAGCAUGCACUCAGGACCUUGGCUAAUUGGUAGAGAGUUUGAUGUGACUAAGUCACUGGAAGAUAGGAAAGAAAAGUUGCAGUGUCUCAAAGACAAUCUUGCCUUUAUGGAUUUCAUUUCUUCCCUUAUCCUUAUGGACUUGGAACUAAAGGGCCAUGAUUUUACUUGGAGCAAUGGAUGUCUUCUCUAGCAAGAUUGAUAAAUUCCUUCUCUCCACUGAAUGGGAGGAUUUGUUCCCAGCAUCUUCCCAAAAAGCUCUAUUAAGCUCUUUCCUCCGAACAUGUACUAAUUGUGCUAGACUACCCGGUCAGAUUUCAAAGGCCCAUAAUUCUAGAUUUAAAGCUUGGUGGAACAAUGAGCCAGAUCUUCAUGAUAUUGUAGUCAAUAAUUGGAGAAAGAUUAGAGGUUCUUUUAACACGACAGCUCAGUGGGUUCAAAACCUAAAACAAGUUCGAAAUGCUCGCAAGAAAUGGGCGUCAAGUAAAAGAAAAUUUAAUAGAGAACUAAAAGAAACCUUACUUCAUGAGGUGAAUCUCCUUGAUAAGAAGGAAGAAGGUGUGGAUCUCUCAUUGGAGGAGUUUAAUAAAAGAAGAUUUUUAAAACAAUCAUUAGACAAGAUCUACCAAAAAAAAGAAGUAUAUUAGACACAAAGGGCCAAGAUAACAUGGCUCAAAGAAGGUUGCUUUAAGGAGAAAGAGGAGGAAUAUUAUUGCUUCGAUCACUGAGGAUGGCAUUGAAUACCAAACUCCAAUGGCAUUUAUAGUAAACUUUAUGAUUUCUUUAAGAGUAUGUUUGUUGUACACUCUUUGCCCGAAAUUAACAUUAAUUGGCCCCGUUUAUAUAGAGAAUCCAUGGUUGAUCUGAGCAAUUUGAUGAAGGUCUUUACCAUUGAUGAAGUUAAGAAAGCCAUCUUCUCAUUUGGAAGCUUAAAAACCCCGGACCCUGAUGGAUUUUCUUUUGCAUUUUUCAAGAAAUUUUGGGAUGUCAUUAGGGAUGAUAUUAAGGCUCUCAUGGAGGACUUCAACAAAGGUGCGCUCGACUUCUCUUGGUCAAAUUUUCCUUACACAUCCCUUAUUCCUAAAAAAGAGGGUGCUCUCUCACUGUGAGAUUUGAGACCUAUCAGCUUUCUCAAUAGCCUAUACAAAAUCAUCUCCAAAGUGCUCUCUAUGCAGCUUGCAAAGUAUCUUCCUUUACUAAUUGAUGAUUCUCAAUAUGCUUUCAUCAAAGGGGGGUCUAUUAUCGAAAGCUUUCUUAGUGCACAUGAAAUGAUUGCAUAUUGCAAAAGAUCGAGCCUUAAAGGAAUUCUUUGCAAGCUCGAUUUUGAAAAGGCGUUUGAUAGUUUAUACAGGGAUUUUUUGGUAGAAGCUCUUCAAGCAAGAGGUUUUCCGAAGACCUUCACCCAUUGAAUUCAUUGCUUACUAUCUUCAGCUGGAGUGGCUCUCCUUGUGAACGGUAAACCAGGAAAUUGUAUCAAAUGUCGCAAAGGUCUUUGACAAGAUGACCCCUUAUCUCCUUCCUUGUGUAUCUUGGCUACUGAUGUUUUGGCGAGGCUUCUUAACAAGGAGGAUCUAUAGGGUUAGUUGAAGAAAUUAAAAAAAUUGAUGUAUUUUACAAUAUUAAAAGCCUUCAAUUUACUGACGAUACUCUGCUCUUCUGUGCCACAAAAAAGGAAAGUAUUGUUGCAGUGAAAGCCAUUCUCCUGGCCUGUGAAGAGGCUUCAGGGUUGAGAAUAAAAUUCCAUAAAAGCUCUAUUAUUGGCCUUAAUAUGCAUAAAGAGGAAUCCAAUGUGAUGGCUGCUUUGAUGAAUUGCAAGAAAGAUACCCUAUCAUUUACUUACUUGGGUCUGCCACUAUUUGACAAGAGACUUACAAGGCAAUGUUGGCUUCCAUUGUUAGAGAAGAUCAAUAGGAGAUUGGCUACUUGGAAAGAGAGAUUUCUCUCAUUUGGGGGUAGGCUAAUUAUGCUUAUUAAUGGUGUUAUGUCAACUCUCUCUUCUUACUAUAUGUCAGUGUUUAGAUUACCAAAAUGGGUCGUUAAUAAGAUUGAUCAGAUGCAUCGUGCAUUCCUUUGGAAAGGAGUGGACAAAGUUAGUGGCUUCCAUUGCUUGGUGAAUUGGAAUUUGGUGUAUAGAUCCAAGGAACAAGGAGGGAUGGAGAUAAAAAAUAUUGAGCAAAUGAACCUAGUAUUUCUUGUAAAAUAGGCUUGAAAGUUCUUACAAGGCAGUGACUCCCUUUGGUGGAAGCUUAUUCAAAGAGCUUACUAUCAGAGAAAGAAAUGUAGGAUGAGAAUUAGAAAAAGCCUUAGAAGUCUAUCCCCUAUUUGGAAAGACAUCAGCAAACAACUUGAAGUUUUUUGGAACUGUCUGUCAUUUAAAUUAGAAAAUGGCAAGAACAUCCGCUUUUAGGAGGAUAGCUGGCUAGGGCCUUGAAGCUCUCCUCUUUGUUUACUGAGCUCUAUGCUAAUGAAGUGCACGGUUGCCUCACAGUGGUUAUGGAGAAUACUCUCUUAGAAAGUUAAAGUAAGAGGACCCUUAAAAGACAACAUAUGGAUCAACUAUAUACCAUCAAAGAAACUCUCUCUCAUGUAAGACCGUCUCGAAUUGGCAAUGUCCUCCUGUGUAAACUCUCACAAAGAGGUUGUUAUAGUGAACUCUUUCUAUAAAUUUCAUAAUAAUGGUGGCCUUCGCUGUCCUUUUUAUAAGAGCCUAUGGAAGGCGGCUUUACUAGAAAGAGUGAGAAUGUUUAUAUAGCUUGCGCUCAUAAAUCGACUGCAUACAUGAGAGAUUCUUACUAAAAAAGGAUGGCAUGUUAAUGAUGGAUGUGUGUUGUGUGGAAGAUGCUUAUUGGUAAGGACCUCUCAUUCUUCAAAGUGCUUGCCUAUUGCAACAAGCUAGAAGCUAUCUCGUAGAUCAUAUGGGUGACUCUAGGCGAAGCUAUGUACAAGGUUCGGGUAGUAAUCAAAGAUUCCAUAGUCGGGAGUCCACUAUUCUCCGACAUAUGUCCAAGAAUGGAUUGGGAGAAAAACUGGAUACAAAGAAACCCCUUCUUCCAAAAUCAAGAUGAUGCUCCUCGUCGCUGUAAUGAGGAUGCUCGUUAGGGACCCUCCUCGCAUGGUGGGAAUGGAGGGGAGGAAGCUACACCUGUGGAAGGGGAUGAUACAGCCAUAAAGAUAACUAAUCAGGAUGACUCUAGUCCUGAGAACCCUCAUCAAAAAAAGGCGGCUGGCCUUGUCUCUGUUACCCAUUGCCCUGUAUUGCUGUCUUCGCCGCCCCGCACGCUACUAACUCAGAAGCUACUUGCCAGACUGUCAAGUUCCACCCCCUUGUUGGCAACUAGGAGCGGUCCACUUCUGAAUCGGUUGCAUAGUGAACUGGGCCUUACUAUGCGAUCCGGGUUGGAACAAAUUUCAAAUUACCUUCCUGCUGAUGAGAGGCUCGAGAAGCAACCAUUGAUGGCCGUUGAUGGCCGACUUAGUUUUAUUGGACAGCCCUACCAUACCUAAGAGUACUAAAGCUUCUUGCCCUCUUUCUUUUCUUGGCAAUAUGAAGGCUGCCCAAACAUUGGCUCCUUUCUGCAAACGGAUAUGGAUGGCUCCCCCUAUAUAGGACAUGGUAACAGUGAUGUGGAGACCUACAAAAUCUCCAUGAUUCUCCCGUGUCAAGAUAACUCAAUAGACAUUUUGGAAGGUUCCAUAGGAUCCCACCAAGAGUUACAUGAUUCUGAAGGGGAUGAAACCCAAGCAUGUAGAGUUGACUGUUGGGAACCCGCCCAUGCCGCAGAAAUUUCAAAAAAAAUUCAGAUGGCAGCGGAAGUGGCAUGCGCGGGAUCGACGUUCAUCUCAUGAACGUAUUUCAAAAACCGUUCGUAGAUAGAUUAGGAUUAAAAACUUUAAAAACAUUAAGAAGAUCAGAUCUUCACCUUGUGCGGGUAGAUGGUCACCACAAACUGAAGUUCGUGGUUUAGGAAGAAGGCUCGCUUGAAGCCGCACACGCGUCCGGCCUCUACGGGUAUCCACACGAAGCAGAGAACCGAUCCAAACGCUUGAAUCUCCCCGGGGUGCUAGCUUCCUUGCAGAGAUUUAUUUUGAUGGCUGAUCACCUCCCUUUCAAUCAACUCUUGAAUGCCAGAGGGAGGAGGAAGAGGAAGAAGGGAUCAAGGGAGAAGAUCCAAAGGCUAGAUGCAGCCUUUUCUUUCCCUUGCGUUGGAAGAAGGAAGGGAGGAGGAGGAGGCCGCCAACACCACUUCUUUUCUUCUCCUUGCUUGCGGCUGAACCAAGGAAAGGGAGAGGGAGGCAUACGGCUGAAAGGAGGAGGGCUUGAAUGCCCUAGGUGCUGCCCCCUCUUCCUCUUAAAAAGGAUGUGGAGCUCCUAACUUUUAGGAGCUCCUUGAUUUUAUUCCAAGAGGGGCGCCGGCCCCUCUUGUCUUGCCGCACCAAGGAAGAAAAGGAGGAGGAGGCGUACGCCCCUCCUCUUGGUUAGCCCUAGUCCUCCUCUAAGGAGGAUUAGGGGGCCUCCUUGUGGCUAAGUCCUAAUCUAAUUAGGCUUAGUCUAAGGAUGAGCCAAUUUUGGGUUUAAUCCAUGUAAGUCCUAAUCCAAUUAGAACUCAAAUGAAUUAUGACUCAAUUGAACUCUUCAAUCCUAAUCCAAUUGAGAGUCAUCUUAAUUCAUUAGAUUAAUAAUUAAUUAGGACUUAAGAAAUUCUAAUCCAAUUAGGACUUAUUUAAUUUUAGUCCUAAUCCAAUUGGGACUUUAGAAAUCCUACUCCAAGUAGGACUCGAAGUCCUAAUCUAAUUAGGACUUCUAGGAAUCCUAAUCCAAGUAGGACUCCAAGUUGAAUUCAUAAUCCUAAUACAAUUAGGAUUCUAGGAAUCCUACUCUAAGUAGGACUUCCAGUCCUAAUCCAAUUAGGACUCUAGAAAUCCUACUCCAAGUAGGAUUCGUGUUUAAGUCCAAUUAAUUAAAUCCCAUUGUUCCUUCUUCAACUGAUUAUCAAUCUAAUUGAUAUUCGUGAUUCAUAAUCACAAUUCAACCAUCGGAUCGGUCAAUACUUCUAAUGUGUGUGACCCCAUAGGUUUUAUUCUGUCUGGUAGUGAGAUAUAUUGCGAUCUCUAUCACAAUAUCAUUAAAAACUCCUUUCAAUGGGUUGGAAUAAUUCUAACUCAACUCAUUAGGGUUUAUCGACCAUCGAGAUAUUUCCUGUGAGUCUCACCAUCCACCAGUGACACCUAGUAGCAUGUAGUGGCUACCCAGCAGAAUGAAAUGAUGAACCUCUAGGUGCAGUUAUCGUGUGACACAAUCCUUCUAUCGUGGAUCCCUACAGGAUGGAGGUCAUGGAAUCAAACCCCAUCAUCUGUCAUAUGUCAAGAUUUAUUCGACUUAAGUUCGAAAGUGGAAAACUCUUUCUCCACUGUACGUACUACCCCGGCCGAGGUCUUACGAACUCAGUCUUAUAAAUCCAUAGGAUCUCUCCUUAUCUACCAAGGUCGAUAGAUUCCUUAUAGGUGCAUACCCUACUCCUACAGUGAACCUACUGCAGCCAAUCUACACUACAAGGACUCGUAUGUCUAGAGACUAUGUAUACGUGCAGUCAAACUACAAUAACCUCACUGUGAAUAGCCGAAGCACCGCAGGUCAUAGGACCAGUCACACUACUGCAACAUCAAGCAAGUCACUGACGAGUGGAUAGACAUCCAAGUGACUUCUUGUCUUGGUCACGCUCAGUACCCUUGUUCUCUAACAAGCACCUGUACUAUCACUCAUGUGUCCCUAUACUGUGGACUCGAGACUCGUCCAUCCAUAAGGAAAGCGAUCUGUGCACUGAUCUCAUCGGAUCGAUCACCGUCCUCAUGAUGAUCCAUCGAUCAGGAGCAUUUAAGAAUUAAUCACUAAUGACACAUGGCUCAAAUUCUCAACUCUUAAGAAUAUGCAUCAUCAUCAUAUUAAUUCUUUGGACGAUUCAUAGACACAUAAACAAUAUGAAUGAAAAAGAUGCCCAUUUAUUAUUCAAUAAUAAUAAAGUCAAGUACAAAACUAUGUUCUAGAAUUAAUAAUGUAUCAGCCAUAUUGGCUUCUAGGGCAUAUAUCUAACAUUGACCAAGUCAAAGAGCACUCUAACCUACCUGGUGAUGCUAGAAUAUUGACCCCACCUCGCGUAGCAUCAUAAUUGGCUUUUGGAGUGGUAGAGUCCUUUCGCUGAGUUCCAAAAUUGCAAAAAAAGGUUGAGAUCAUGGAUGGUGCUCCCGACUCUUAGGUGGAAACUCGGUUUGAAGCUGAAGCACCCAGAGUCCGUAAAUCCUUCCGGCUGAGGGUUGCAAGGACUGUGAAGAAAGCCACCUCCAAACUCAUCUCAACAAGGAGAAAAAAGAAAGUCCCCAUUCCUGACACCGAACCCAACCUUCUCCAUGCUACAUGCCCAUUGAGCUCUGUUCCUCACUAUCUUCUUUUAGAAUGGGGCAAGGCAUGUGGAUUCAAUUUCUCUAAAGAAAUGGCUAAGGAGGUGGUGAACACAUUGAUUGAACUGGAGAAAGAGAAGGCUGCAAUUGCCACUACUUAAAAGGAGUUGCUGAAGCUGUUGACUGGAAGGUUUAAUGAUGAUACUUAAAAACCAUAGAUUCUUCUUCUUUUUGUUCUUUGUUCUUCCUUUCAGUUGUUGUUAGUGAUUUGAUGUUGGACUGCCGCCUUGCAGUUGUAGUUACUCAGGCCAUUUCUUUCUUAGAUACUGUACUUGUGCCAAUGUUAUCCCCGCUGAUUGCUGGCCUUAUCUUUGGGAGCUUCUUGAAUCUAUUGACUGUUCGAAUAACUGUGAUUGUCUCUUGCUUCUGAUGAUCACCCUUGAUCGUUGCCUUCGAGUGGACUGCCUUUAAAUUUGCUGGUGGAAUCGGUGGUCUUUGUUUUAUCUUUCUAUAUUGUUUGUAAAUUGUGUUGGGGUAAAAAAACUCUCACUUCCUUAGUAAGUUGAGGAUUGCUUAAUCUCAAUGAUUGUCGUAUAUUAGAAUAUCAGAGGAGCUGGGGCUGCUGGCAAACGUAAUGCGAUCAUGGACCUCAUUUUGUCCUCAAAUUGUGAUAUCAUGAUGCUUUGCUUUAGGAGACAAAAAUUUCUUUGUCGUCACAAGCAUUUCUCAGAGCAUUGGAUGACAACAAGAUUGAUGAGUGCGGCUAUCUUGCUUCUAUUGGUUCUUUGCCUGAAGCAAGAUCUGUUUAUCGCUGUUGUCUAUGGGCCGAAUGAUAGUUGACCAUUGUUUUUAAAAAUCUCAUUGAUAUUAGUAGCUUGCACUGAGGAUCUUGGCUGAAUGGGGGAGAUUUUGAUGUUACCAAGUCGCUGGAAGAUAGGAAAGGAAUAAAUACUAUGAAGUCAAAGCAGGGAGUUGUAAUUAAUCUGCCAGCAACCUCGCCUAACAUAAAUCUAUCGAGGGUUCCGUUUAUAUUCGCCUACCGUCCUCCUCCGCUCCUCCUUGGCCUUCUCCUUCUCGAAUCCAUGGCGAUCGCAGCCCUCCCAAAUCCAGGGCUGUCUCCGAUGGCCUCUCUCUCUCGUUUCACUCUAACGCCGCCGAGUACUCCGACCUCCGACCUCCGACCUCGGUGCGAGCGGCGCCUCCCUAUUCUCAAUCAGGUCACGAACUCGAUCUCCAUCAUUCGUUGGUUGCUGAUUUGAUUUGAAAUUGCAGUGGAGAUUCUCAAAUUUGCCAUCUUUCCACGCUGCAGGUAUGUAACCGGUCCAUUUCCCUUCUAUUCUUCAUAAGUUGGAUUAUUCAUGAUGGCUGAUUCCUUCAUUCGAAAAAUUUCAUUCUUUUCUUUGUAAAUUGAAGUAUUUAUGAUAAUGGAUUCCACAUUGAUCUGAAAUUUUUGAAGUAUAUCUUGGUACUGAGAGUUGGCUUCCUCCUUGGUACUCCUUUCUCCUUUGUUUCCCUUCCCCUGCGACAUCUUGAAGAUAAAAAAGUGAUCUUUGGCAUUCUCAAACUUGUUUCCAUUAGCAAAAACAAUGGUUACCAUAGAGUGAAGCUAGAGUGCGCAGUAGGCUGCAACUAAAGCCCAAGGCUUUUGUGUGUGUGUAUAUAUAUAUAAUUUUUGAGAAGAGAUUACUCUAAUUGAAAAAAAAGGUCGUCUUGGCUUUUGGUUUCUAAGGCAUUGAGUCGCAUCAACAAACUUUUAGGAAGAGAUGCCAAUGGAUAGUUAGUUACAUGUUGUGCAAUAACAAAAAAGAAAUCAAGAAGAUGAGUUUGCAGCUACAGCAAUUGCUAGAAGACUCAAACUAGAGGUCAAAGUGCCUUCAGUAGAUAGAGAAGCGUUGUUUGUAACUCUAAACGCUCAGAGAAUUCCCACUUAUUGAAAUCUUCUAGGAAAAGAAGUAGGUCCAAAUCCAAUAGUUGUUGAUGUUUUGAAGGUCGUACCCCGCACAAGCAAUUCAAAAUUACAUAAUUUUCAUGGAUCAUAGCAUGCUACAAUCAUGUCAUAUGAAAUUGGACCUGGGACUUUAUGCAGCACUAGAUAAUGGUACUGAGGAAAGCUAUUUAUGUAAAUAUAAUUUACAUGGAAGUUUUUCAAGAAACUUUCUUUAUUACAAAUAUCAGUCUAUCAACAUGCAAAAGGCUACCUGAAUAACUGAUAAGCAGCUAUUAUUUAAUAGCAUGCUUGCCAAUAAUUUAGACACCUGUAGCUUUUUUCAGAGGGAAGCACCUUUAACGAUUUUUUUCCUAGUAGUCUUGUUACUCUUGUAUGGGUAGCCAUGGUAAAUGAUGGGUAAAUGGAGUACACUUUUGUUAAAUAGACCUGAAACCAACCCAUACCUCAGUCAACUUAGAGUUGGCCUAUACUGGCAAUAAUUUAAUAGCAAUAAAUUGUAAAGCAUCUAAAUUAUAAGCAAUGACAUCAUAUAGCAAUAAUUUAAUGGCUUAUUUGGUUGAUAAAAGUUCAUGAUUAUCCAGUGAAAUCAACAAUAAAUUGGAGACUGUUAUGGCUAUGGUAAUGAAUAGUCAAUGUCACAUGUUUGGUUUUUUUUAUUAUUUGCUGGCAAAGUAAUAAAUUUCAGUAUUGAUUUCACCUUGGUAAAAGACAAGCUUUUGUAAGAUACUUACUAAAAAGUUAAUACUUAAAUCCAAGUGUUUAUGAUCUUAUUAAUGUUUCCAGAACUUACCUGUAAGUAGAGAAGCAAAUUUCAGAAAAUUUCAGUGAUACUGAUCGUCUGAUCCUUUCAGCUACAAAAUAAGAGGAAAGAGAAGGAUGAAGAAAUACAGAGACCUAGUUCUGAAGCAAUUUUCUAAUUGCUUUUAUUGAUCCAAAUGAUACCAAUAGCAAUCUCCAUCCAAUAACUUCAUCUUCCAAUGAAUCAAACCACCAGUUUGCUUCUACAACUGCUCACAAUUUUAAAAAAAAAAUAUAAAAAACUUAUCAGCUCCUUGGCUAAGGCUCCAAUCCUGCAGCACUCACUACUAUAGGAGUUCUCACGUAGUGCUUCCCAUCAGACCAUAUUAGCCCUCCAAAAACAUAAUCCGUAGACGCAUGACCUUUCUUAACCUUCAAAGUAACCUCAAACUUUUUCUCUUCCCCUAUCUUGUCAUAUGUUAAGCUUGUUGGAUUCACGGACACUGAAAUACCUCUUGGUUCUCUGACACGGACGAUGUAUGUGCCUGGCGAUCCGACAUUCUUCAUUGCGCGGGUCACAGUGAUGGAUCCAGAGAGAUCAGGGAUGGUGAUUGAAGGGUAGUUCAAAUCUUCAAGCUUUGGGGGUUUAGAGGGGCAUGAGAAAGAGUCAUUGCUGAAUAUUGCUAUCUGGGUGGAGUUGUAGCCUAGAGCACAUAAGAAGUUCAAAUAAUCAUUUGUUGUUAAAUCAUAGACCAAGCCAGGAUCCAUAGCACGGUUUGGUUGCACAUGACCAGAUCCAUAGCUAAAUGGUGUAGCCUUAACAUAGGAUGAAUUUAACACGGGCUCGUCCAUGCUGUCCUGAGUUCUUGCUGCAAAUUAAUAGAAGGAAAAAGAGAGAGAGAGAGAAACAAAAACAGGUAAGAAUUAUAAUUCAUUCACAGAAUAUUUUCCAAAUCAUAGAUUGUGUUACCACAAAUGAAAAAACAAAAAAAUAUCAAAGUUGUGAAUCUUUUGUGAGUAGGAUGAGACUAUGAGUGAGGAACAAAAAUCAUGAAAUUUGAUUCUCUGGUUAGAACUUUCCAAUUUCACGAUCAUGAUCAUAUAUUACAAUUGUAGCACAUAUUUUACAAAAGAAAUAAAUUCCCUGAAAAUAGAAAAAAAAAGUUGAAUUAAUAAAGCUCAUGAAUUUCAUACCAGUGGUCAUGAUUGCUGAUUUUAUUGCUGAAGGACUCCAAUCAGGGUGGAGACUUUUGAGGAGGCCCACGACACCAGAUAUAUGAGGACAUGACAUGGAAGUGCCAGAAUCUGAGUUGAAGGCAACACGUCGGGUAUCGAAAGCUAGACCAGUUGGUCCAGCAGCUCCUGUGUAGGCAGCAAGAACACUAACCCCUGGUGCAGUGAUAUCAGGCUGAAAGGUGCAGCGAUAUCAGGCAGCAAGCAAGAAGUUAAAUCGAUGAAUUAGAAGAACUCAGAUGAGCUAAAGAAAGAAAUGAUAGAAUUUUUUGUAAACCUUUAGGAUUUCAGCAUUGACAGUGUUUGGCCCCUGAGAUGAGAAAGCUGCCAUGAAUGGUGCUGGUUUCGUGUCAAGCUGUGUUAUUGGGGUUGUAAUGUAACCAAGUGGUGACCUGACAGAAAAUUGUCAUGGUCAGAGAAUUAUAGUGCAUAUAUGUUUGACAUUUGAGUGACAAUUUGUGAGUGUUUGUAAAGGAAAUAAUAAUAUCAUAUAUUUACAGUUUGGUCCAAGUUAAUGUAAAUGAACAUGUGCAUGCAAUGCACAAGAUGGCCAGCAAUACAUCCACUUAUUAAAGGGUGAUUAUUACAUUGCGUGUUUAACAGUAUCAUAAUCACAAAUAAUUAGGGAGACAACAACCAAAAACUAAGGCGUUACUUGAUAAACUGCUAGUUUUUCAUUUCUCUAUAGGUUGAUUGGCGAAAUAUUGAAUCAUGUGUGAAUUCUCAGAUAAUGACUUCACCGGUAGAAAGCUAAUUCAUUAAUGUUCUGUAUAAUUCUGUGAUCUACAUCCUUGCACAGCAGAGCACAGAACAUAUCUGUGACUAUAAGCAGGAAAUAAAUUGGAGACAGCUUACUUGGUCGACUUGAG